GGGCGCGUGGUCUAAGGGAUAAGACACCAGUCCGACGAGCUGGAAACCCGGGUUCGAAUCUCGGCGCGCCCA
rnacentral:tRNA from 1 species